AGGUGAGGACGCUGAGACUCAGAGAGGUGAAGUGACUUGUCCAACGUCCCUGGGCUCCUUCUUGGAACCCAGAUCAUCCUCUCCCCUUCUAGUGCUCUUUCCACUUUAAACAGAGAUGGGACGGACCUUCUCAGGACUGUCUGAAGACAAUGCUUAAGUAUCCUUAGCAGGAAGCUGGCAUCUUCCAGAAAGAAGUGACUUUAAGUAAGGAGACGCAUCAGAUACAGCUCAUGGCACAGAGCCUGCCACAGAGCGAGCUGAGUCAAGGGCUCAGCUCACGGCAGGGACCUGGCCCGGAACAGAGCUCAGUACCCGGUAGGUGCCCGAGAGAGAAGUCAGUGUCCAGAACCCAGCGAAGGAUCUGGGGCUGCGAGGGCACUUGGACCCGGCGGAGCUGUCAGAUCAUACCUGGGCAUCCCAUCUCACCCCUCCCCAGACCUGAGAGCUGGAUGCCCUCCCGACCUCACCCUCAUACAGAGGUGGAAACAUGGCGCCCAGAGAGGCAUCGUGGGACCGUUGGAAUUUCUGCCUCGAGACCAUCUGGCCUAAUUACCCCCAUGGCUGGCACAGGGCCUGAAGCUGUUCUUGAAUGAGUCAAAGGAGCUUGUGGGUCCUCAGAAGACCCCUCUCCCAUGCCACC
rnacentral:lncRNA from 1 species